UCACUGAAAUCUUUUGAAAAUGUAAUGUUGUUGUGUUUUCCAUCCAAACAAACUGCAGCUGCUCUGUGUGUUUAUUGUGCAGUCUCGCCCUCCACAGUAUACUGUUGCGCUGUUGGCCCAAUGUCGCAGCGUCAAUGCAUGUGGCGCUUUCGUUAGUAAUAUGUGUGUUUAACUUUUUCCAGCUCUGCGCAGACCGAUCACCUUAUGACAAAACGCAUACGGCAUUAGAAUAGCAUUUCUAAAGCAUACAGGGCAGUCAGUUCACAAAUAGCUCUCACUGUGCUUUGAUGUCAUACGCCGUUCCGUCUGCGAUCAAACAUCUGACUGGCACGCACGAGGUGUACGAGUUUUCACCGGUGUCCUCUCGCGCCACAGGCGGGAAUUCAAAAUAACGGAUGGCAACAACCUCUCGACUGUCCCAUUGGAGAAUUUUCAGUAUUUUCCAGUUGAGUAGACAAAAAAAGGACACCCAAGGCCAACAGACCCAGCUCCAGCCCGCCCUGAUGCUCAUCCUUGCACUGCCUGGGACACCUAAGGCCAACAGGCGCAGCUCCUGUUCUCUUUUUGCCAUAAAUACAUAUCUACUUUAGCAAUACAAAAUUGUGAAAUGCACUAUAGAAAUUAUUUUGACUUAGGAUCCUCACACCACCUGGUAAUAGCAGG